CUACGGGAGGCAGCAGUGAGGAAUAUUGGUCAAUGGGCGAAAGCCUGAACCAGCCAAGUAGCGUGAAGGAUGACUGCCCUAUGGGUUGUAAACUUCUUUUAUAGGGGAAUAAAAUGAGCCACGUGUGGCUUUUUGUAUGUACCCUAUGAAUAAGGAUCGGCUAACUCCGUGCCAGCAGCCGCGGUAAU
rnacentral:rRNA from 1 species